GGCACCGUGGUUUAGUGGUUAGCAUGUUUGCCUCACACCUCCGAGGUUGGGGGUUCCGUUCCCGCCUCUGCCC